rnacentral:tRNA from 1 species
GGGGUUGUGGCUUAGCGGUAGAGCACUCACCUCGUACAUGCGAGAUCCUGGGUUCGAUUCUCAGCCCCA